AUCUGGACCCUGACCUGGGGCUGGCCUUCCUGACUGGACUUUGGACCUGCGUUGUCACACAAAUUUGCUGGGUGAUCUCAGUUCUUGGUUGAAGCUGCCUGUUGUCCCCGGACCUGCCCUGCUCAUUGUGCUCAGGUCUCAAGCAUGUGGCAGCUGAUGGAAGAAGGGUAUAGUUGGUCCUGGCUCUCCUCGGCAAAGCAGGUACUCUACCGACAAAGCUCUCUACAGCAUAACAGCAGCUCCAUCUUCAGUUGCCUGACCUAAGUAAAUGCAACUAAAAAAGCACAGACUACAAAAGCUUCUUGGCUCGCCAUGCUGCAGUGUAAUAUGCAAGAUAUCCAAUGUAUCCUGGAUGAAGUUCUCGAAUAUGAGACUUGAGCCUCAUUUUCCAAGUUUACCACAGAAGAUCAGUUGUUUCCUCUGCUCCUGCCCGUGAACUGCAGCAUGCCUGAGUAAAGGCUGGGGGAAUGAACUGCUUCAGAUACAGGGGGCAACCCCGGCCUUGACUAACGCACCGACAGCUUCAACAAUUAAAGCCCAUGUGUUAAAGCCUAGGUUAAAGCUCAGAUUUUAGAGCGGCUUUGACAGUCAUAUCCUCUGCAUCUCAGAUGCACAAGGAGACCUGAAAUACAGCCUCAUUUAUAAAUUAUUUUUCUCACUUACUGUAUAAUUUUAGACUUUAUGACAGAUCUGCAGAAUCUGAACUCUGGUGGGACAGUGAACUCUGAAGGGAUGGAUCUUGGCUUCAGGGGAGAAACCCUGUGCCUUACAGUGGACUUUCAUACAAUUGCAUAUGUUUUUAUGAUAUUGCGUAAUCUGUAAAGAUGCUAUGCAAGACAAUACUGUUAAUGACUAUACAGACUGUUGUAACUGUUUUUACAGGAGGAAUACACUGUGCUAGAUUUGGAACAAAGUGCCUUCCAGAAAUGAUUUUAAUAGCCAAGAUAAAGAGGCUACUAGUUAAUAAA